CAUAAACAAUGACAGCGACAAGAAGAGGUUGGCAACGAGUUGGUUGGAUAGUUUAGUAGCGAGAAUCUUUUGGUGGAGAAACUAAUUAUCAGAUUGAGGCCGAUUGGUUGGUGUUCUAGAAGUCGCAAGGUUGGGAAACUUGUCGUUGGCAAGAUACUGUUGCGGGAGAUAAAGCUAAUGGCUGACGAGUUUAUUCGAGUAGAUCGUAUUGCUGAGGUGAGCCACCGCAUUGUUCGUGGAGGCUUUCGUUUCAGACUUACCUAGCUCGUGUUAGUUAUUUCCUUUUUCUUUGGGGUUUGCAUACCCGUUAAUAAAUCAUGUUACUCUGUUAGAUGCUCUAUAGUCUUAG